UCUGCAGUAGUCUCAAGACCCACGAGGAUGCUCUGACUCUCAUCCUUCUACACUGUGUUCACGAUCGCUGUUAAUCUCGCCUCUGUCGUCCAUCUGUCUCACAGGAAAGAGCUUACGGCCGACAAAGGCGGCAUUGAGAUCACGUCUGACCCCGUGGGAACUGAUGGAAAGGUUCACUUCACCGUAGCUGCUCUGAGGGAGUUUUUGUCGUCAGUUUCCAUUGUAACAAGGGCUCGAACAGCGUCCACUUCACCUUCUACACCGCUCGCACCGCAUCCGCUGUUUCACUCUGGAGGAUGAGAGGAAGGUGACGCGGCCUGUCCACGUUCCUACUUUCCUCUGUCCCGAGACGCUCACUCCAAACUUUGCUGUAGCGCUGUGAACUGUGUGAUAACCAUCUUAACUCCUAUUCGUCUAUUCAUUUGGUUGCAGAGAGAGUUACGAAGUUGUGGUUCGAUACACGUUGAUCCACUAUGGACAUUUUCCUGCCACCAUGUACUUUGAGUUCUGCCCGGAUUUGCCCGACUCGGUGCCCUUCUGCAUUGUCAGGGAGAUGGAGGCUGUGGCUCGGACUCCACUGGCUGUGGAGCUGGGGCCUGUGGCUCCUUAUAAAAAACUUCAAGUGUUCACAUCCAGGCCGUGGACACGGUGAUCGUGGAUGGAGUACCACCAGAGAGUUCUGUUGUCCAGCGUCUGAAGACCGCUGUGAAGCUAGGCGACUACAGGUACCCCACUUACCUGAAGGAAAUAGCUAAACAGUGGGUAGAGGACUCUGAUCGCCUUUCUCCGACUGCCAGAGAAAAACUUGCCGCUGUAAAGUGAGAAUAUCACCACGCUUGUGUUUUCCUUCCUUAUUUUGUGGAAGUAAAUUCCAUUAAGCACACAAUGUGUGUGUCCAGGGGUCUUCUCAGCUGCUCUCUGAAGAUGAAGAACUACUCUCAUCGGUUUCACCUCCUGCUGCACCUGGAGGAGAUCCAGAUGGAGGUGGACAUCAGGAAGUAUGACCUCCACAAUCAAACCAUGAAUCAAGACCCAAGCAACAGAAAACUCCUCACGCUCAGUGUAAGGCAACGCUAAAUGAAAUACAGUUUAAUGGGUUUAUGAAUGCCAAAUUCUAACUUUGUCAUGAUGUAUAAAAUUAGUG
rnacentral:lncRNA from 1 species